UACGUAGGGGCUAGCGUUGUCCGGAAUCAUUGGGCGUAAAGCGCGCGUAGGCGGCCCGGUAAGUCCGCUGUGAAAGUCAAAGGCUCAACCUUUGAAUGUCAGCGGAUACUGCCGGGCUAGAGUCCGGAAGAGGCGAGUGGAACUCCUGGUGUAGCGGUGGAAUGCGCAGAUAUCAGGAAGAACACCAACGGCGAAGGCAGCUCGCUGGGACGGAACUGACGCUGAGGCGCGAAAGCGUGGGGAGCGAACAGG
rnacentral:rRNA from 1 species